ACCUACGGGGGGCAGCAGUAGGGAAUUUUCGUCAAUGGGCGCAAGCCUGAACGAGCAAUGCCGCGUGAACGAGGAAGGUCUUCGGGUCGUAAAGUUCUGUUGAAGGGGAAAAAGAGCGGAGAGAGGAAAUGGUCUCCGAUUGAUAUUACCCUUCGAGGAAGUCACGGCUAACUACGUGCCAGCAGCCGCGGUAAUACGUAGGUGGCGAGCGUUAUCCGGAAUGAUUGGGCGUAAAGGGUGCGUAGGCGGGAUUGCAAGUCAGAUGGGAAAA
rnacentral:rRNA from 1 species